rnacentral:rRNA from 1 species
CCUACGGGUGGCAGCAGUGAGGAAUAUUGGUCAAUGGCCGGAAGGCUGAACCAGCCAAGCCGCGUGAAGGACGAAGGUGCCAAGCAUUGUAAACUUCUUUUGUCAAGGGACAAAAUCAGGCUCGAGAGCCUUACCUAGGGUACUUGCAGAGACAGCAUCGGCUAACUCCGUUCCAGCAGCCGCGGUAAUACGGAGGAUGCGAGCGUUAUCCGGAUUUAUUGGGUUUAUAGGGUGCGUAGGCGGGCCGUUGAGUCAGCGGUAAAAGCCCGGGGCUCACCCCCGGCGAGCCGUUGAAACUGGUUGUCUUGAGAUGUCGAAAGGUAUGCGGAAUGCGCAGUGUAGCGGUGAAAUGCUUAGAUAUUGCGCAGAACGCCGAUUGCGAAGGCAGCAUACCGGCGGCGAUCUGACGCUGAGGCACGAAAGCGUGGGUAUCGAACAGGAUUAGAUACCCGUGUAGUC